GUGAAUCAUCGAAUCUUUGAACGCACAUUGCGCCCGCCAGUAUUCUGGCGGGCAUGCCUGUCCGAGCGUCAUUUCAACCCUCGAACCCCCCCAGGGGGGUCCGGCGUUGGGGAUCGGGGACCCCUGAGACGGGAUCCCGGCCCCGAAAUACAGUGGCGGUCUCGCCGCAGCCUCCCCUGCGCAGUAGUUUGCACAACUCGCACCGGGAGCGCGGCGCGCCCACGUCCGUAAAACACCCAACUUUCUGAAAUGUUGACCUCGGAUCAGGUAGGAAUACCCGCUGAACUUAAGCAUAUCAAU
rnacentral:misc_RNA from 1 species